rnacentral:miRNA from 1 species
UAUGUGGAUUUGAAAUCAUAUA